rnacentral:tRNA from 1 species
GAAAAAGUAAUUAAAAUAUAAUAUAUCUUUGUCAAAGAUAACUUGUCUAAAAUAGACCUCUUUCU